rnacentral:rRNA from 1 species
UAGGGAAUUUUUCACAAUAAGCGAAAGCUUGAUGGAGCAAUGCCGCGUGAACGAUGAAGGUCUUUAAGAUUGUAAAGUUCUUUUAUUUGGGAAGAAUGACUUUAGCAGGUAAUGGCUAGAGUUUGACUGUACCAUUUUGAAUAAGUGACGACUAACUAUGUGCCAGCAGUCGCGGUAAUACAUAGGUCGCAAGCGUUAUCCGGAUUUAUUGGGCGUAAAGCAAGCGCAGGCGGAUUGAAAAGUCUGGUGUUAAAGGCAGCUGCUUAACAGUUGUAUGCAUUGGAAACUAUUAAUCUAGAGUGUGGUAGGGAGUUUUGGAAUUUCAUGUGGAGCGGUGAAAUGCGUAGAUAUAUGAAGGAACACCAGUGGCGAAGGCGAAAACUUAGGCCAUUACUGACGCUUAGGCUUGAAAGUGUGGGGAGCAAAUAGGAUUAGAUACCCUAGUAGUCCACACCGUAAACGAUAGAUACUAGCUGUCGGGGCGAUCCCCUCGGUAGUGAAGUUAACACAUUAAGUAUCUCGCCUGGGUAGUACAUUCGCAAGAAUG